rnacentral:rRNA from 1 species
UUGCUGUAGUGGAUAUAGUGGCGAACGGGUGAGUAACACGUGAGUAACCUGCCCUUAACUCUGGGAUAAGCCUGGGAAACUGGGUCUAAUACCGGAUAGGAGCGCCUACCGCAUGGUGGGUGUUGGAAAGAUUUAUCGGUUUUGGAUGGACUCGCGGCCUAUCAGCUUGUUGGUGAGGUAAUGGCUCACCAAGGCGACGACGGGUAGCCGGCCUGAGAGGGUGACCGGCCACACUGGGACUGAGACACGGCCCAGACUCCUACGGGAGGCAGCAGUGGGGAAUAUUGCACAAUGGGCGCAAGCCUGAUGCAGCGACGCCGCGUGAGGGAUGACGGCCUUCGGGUUGUAAACCUCUUUCAGUAGGGAAGAAGCGAAAGUGACGGUACCUGCAGAAGAAGCACCGGCUAACUACGUGCCAGCAGCCGCGGUAAUACGUAGGGUGCGAGCGUUAUCCGGAAUUAUUGGGCGUAAAGAGCUCGUAGGCGGUUUGUCGCGUCUGUCGUGAAAGUCCGGGGCUUAACCCCGGAUCUGCGGUGGGUACGGGCAGACUAGAGUGCAGUAGGGGAGACUGGAAUUCCUGGUGUAGCGGUGGAAUGCGCAGAUAUCAGGAGGAACACCGAUGGCGAAGGCAGGUCUCUGGGCUGUAACUGACGCUGAGGAGCGAAAGCAUGGGGAGCGAACAGGAUUAGAUACCCUGGUAGUCCAUGCCGUAAACGUUGGGCACUAGGUGUGGGGACCAUUCCACGGUUUCCGCGCCGCAGCUAACGCAUUAAGUGCCCCGCCUGGGAGUACGGCCGCAAGGCUAAAACUCAANGAAUUGACGGGGGCCCGCACAAGCGCGGAGCAUGCGGAUUAAUUCGAUGCAACGCGAAGAACCUUACCAAGCUUGACAUGUUCUCGAUCGCCGUAGAGAUACGGUUUCCCCUUUGGGGCGGGUUCACAGGUGGUGCAUGGUUGUCGUCAGCUCGUGUCGUGAGAUGUUGGGUUAAGUCCCGCAACGAGCGCAACCCUCGUUCCAUGUUGCCAGCACGUAGUGGUGGGGACUCAUGGGAGACUGCCGGGGUCAACUCGGAGGAAGGUGAGGACGACGUCAAAUCAUCAUGCCCCUUAUGUCUUGGGCUUCACGCAUGCUACAAUGGCCGGUACAAUGGGUUGCGAUACUGUGAGGUGGAGCUAAUCCCAAAA